GACAGAGCACUCCGUACGGAGGCAGCAGUGGGAAUAUUGCACAAUGGGCGCAAGCCUGAUGCAGCCAUGCCGCGUGUAUGAAGAAGGACCUUCGGGUUGUAAAGUACUUCAGCAGUGAGGAAGGUGGGUAUGUUAAUAGCAUAUUCAUUUGACGUUAGCUGCAGAAGAAGCACCGGCUAACUCCGUGCCAGCAGCCGCGGUAAUACGGAGGGUGCGAGCGUUAAUCGGAAUUACUGGGCGUAAAGCGCAUGCAGGUGGUUUGUUAAGUCAGAUGUGAAAGCCCGGGGCUCAACCUCGGAAUUGCAUUUGAAACUGGCAAACUAGAGUACUGUAGAGGGGGUAGAAUUUCAGGUGUAGCGGUGAAAUGCGUAGAGAUCUGAAGGAAUACCGGUGGCGAAGGCGGCCCCCCUGGACAGAUACUGACACUCAGAUGCGAAAGCGUGGGGAGCAAACAGGAUUAGAUACCCUGGUAG
rnacentral:rRNA from 1 species